rnacentral:rRNA from 1 species
GGGUUGUGAGGUUAAGCGACUAAGCGUACACGGUGGAUGCCCUGGCAGUCAGAGGCGAUGAAGGACGUGCUAAUCUGCGAUAAGCGUCGGUGAGGUGAUAUGAACCGUUAUAACCGGCGAUUUCCGAAUGGGGAAACCCAGUGUGUUUCGACACACUAUCAUUAACUGAAUCCAUAGGUUAAUGAGGCGAACCGGGGGAACUGAAACAUCUAAGUACCCCGAGGAAAAGAAAUCAACCGAGAUUCCCCCAGUAGCGGCGAGCGAACGGGGAGGAGCCCAGAGCCUGAAUCAGUGUGUGUGUUAGUGGAAGCGUCUGGAAAGGCGCGCGAUACAGGGUGACAGCCCCGUACACAAAAAUGCACAUAUUGUGAGCUCGAUGAGUAGGGCGGGACACGUGGUAUCCUGUCUGAAUAUGGGGGGACCAUCCUCCAAGGCUAAAUACUCCUGACUGACCGAUAGUGAACCAGUACCGUGAGGGAAAGGCGAAAAGAACCCCGGCGAGGGGAGUGAAAAAGAACCUGAAACCGUGUACGUACAAGCAGUGGGAGCCUCUUAAUGGGGUGACUGCGUACCUUUUGUAUAAUGGGUCAGCGACUUAUAUUCUGUAGCAAGGUUAACCGAAUAGGGGAGCCGAAGGGAAACCGAGUCUUAACUGGGCGUUAAGUUGCAGGGUAUAGACCCGAAACCCGGUGAUCUAGCCAUGGGCAGGUUGAAGGUUGGGUAACACUAACUGGAGGACCGAACCGACUAAUGUUGAAAAAUUAGCGGAUGACUUGUGGCUGGGGGUGAAAGGCCAAUCAAACCGGGAGAUAGCUGGUUCUCCCCGAAAGCUAUUUAGGUAGCGCCUCGUGAAUUCAUCUCCGGGGGUAGAGCACUGUUUCGGCAAGGGGGUCAUCCCGACUUACCAACCCG